AUCAUUAUGAGAGUUUGAUCCUGGCUCAGGACGAACGCUGGCGGCGUGCCUAAUACAUGCAAGUCGAACGCUUUUUCUUUCACCGGAGCUUGCUCCACCGAAAGAAAAAGAGUGGCGAACGGGUGAGUAACACGUGGGUAACCUGCCCAUCAGAAGGGGAUAACACUUGGAAACAGGUGCUAAUACCGUAUAACACUAUUUUCCGCAUGGAAGAAAGUUGAAAGGCGCUUUUGCGUCACUGAUGGAUGGACCCGCGGUGCAUUAGCUAGUUGGUGAGGUAACGGCUCACCAAGGCAACGAUGCAUAGCCGACCUGAGAGGGUGAUCGGCCACACUGGGACUGAGACACGGCCCAGACUCCUACGGGAGGCAGCAGUAGGGAAUCUUCGGCAAUGGACGAAAGUCUGACCGAGCAACGCCGCGUGAGUGAAGAAGGUUUUCGGAUCGUAAAACUCUGUUGUUAGAGAAGAACAAGGAUGAGAGUAAAAUGUUCAUCCCUUGACGGUAUCUAACCAGAAAGCCACGGCUAACUACGUGCCAGCAGCCGCGGUAAUACGUAGGUGGCAAGCGUUGUCCGGAUUUAUUGGGCGUAAAGCGAGCGCAGGCGGUUUCUUAAGUCUGAUGUGAAAGCCCCCGGCUCAACCGGGGAGGGUCAUUGGAAACUGGGAGACUUGAGUGCAGAAGAGGAGAGUGGAAUUCCAUGUGUAGCGGUGAAAUGCGUAGAUAUAUGGAGGAACACCAGUGGCGAAGGCGGCUCUCUGGUCUGUAACUGACGCUGAGGCUCGAAAGCGUGGGGAGCGAACAGGAUUAGAUACCCUGGUAGUCCACGCCGUAAACGAUGAGUGCUAAGUGUUGGAGGGUUUCCGCCCUUCAGUGCUGCAGCAAACGCAUUAAGCACUCCGCCUGGGGAGUACGACCGCAAGGUUGAAACUCAAAGGAAUUGACGGGGGCCCGCACAAGCGGUGGAGCAUGUGGUUUAAUUCGAAGCAACGCGAAGAACCUUACCAGGUCUUGACAUCCUUUGACCACUCUAGAGAUAGAGCUUCCCCUUCGGGGGCAAAGUGACAGGUGGUGCAUGGUUGUCGUCAGCUCGUGUCGUGAGAUGUUGGGUUAAGUCCCGCAACGAGCGCAACCCUUAUUGUUAGUUGCCAUCAUU
rnacentral:rRNA from 1 species